GUCUUGCAUCUUCCCUUUUUUUUAAAUGUUUUUCUUUCUUUGCCUAUUUUUUAUUCUUUUUGAUUAUAAUUUAGACGUGAAAUGGAUGUCUGAUGUG
rnacentral:ribozyme from 1 species